rnacentral:rRNA from 1 species
UCGGUCUUGAAUAGGCCAGAGAGGCGCAAUGAAAGUAAAGUUGAUUGAGUUACGAUCCUCAUGCGGUUAUCACUCGGUGGUAACGGUGGGGCGCAGUAACAGCCCGCCAAUUUCGCUUAUUGUCGAUCUGGCGGAGUUGUAGCGUACACGUUGGUACCCGAAAGAUGGUGAACUAUGCCUGGGCAAGACGAAGCCAGAGGAAACUCUGGUGGAGGUCUGUAGCGAUUCUGACGUGCAAAUCGAUCGUCAGACCUGGGUAUAGG